GAUGAACGCUGGCGGCGUGCCUAAUACAUGCAAGUCGAGCGAACGGACGAGAAGCUUGCUUCUCUGAUGUUAGCGGCGGACGGGUGAGUAACACGUGGAUAACCUACCUAUAAGACUGGGAUAACUUCGGGAAACCGGAGCUAAUACCGGAUAAUAUUUUGAACCGCAUGGUUCAAUAGUGAAAGACGGUCUUGCUGUCACUUAUAGAUGGAUCCGCGCUGCAUUAGCUAGUUGGUAAGGUAACGGCUUACCAAGGCAACGAUGCAUAGCCGACCUGAGAGGGUGAUCGGCCACACUGGAACUGAGACACGGUCCAGACUCCUACGGGAGGCAGCAGUAGGGAAUCUUCCGCAAUGGGCGAAAGCCUGACGGAGCAACGCCGCGUGAGUGAUGAAGGUCUUCGGAUCGUAAAACUCUGUUAUUAGGGAAGAACAAAUGUGUAAGUAACUAUGCACAUCUUGACGGUACCUAAUCAGAAAGCCACGGCUAACUACGUG
rnacentral:rRNA from 1 species